UUUUAGCCCUGAUAGCAGUGGAAAUCCUUUUCUUUUUUUCCUUUAGAAAAAGAAAAGAUUGCAACGGAUAGCAGGAAUAGCU
rnacentral:sRNA from 26 species